rnacentral:rRNA from 1 species
GAUGAACGCUGGCGGCGUGCCUAAUACAUGCCAGUCGAGCGAACGGACGAGAAGCUUGCUUCUCUGAUGUUAGCGGCGGACGGGUGAGUAACACGUGGAUAACCUACCUAUAAGACUGGGAUAACUUCGGGAAACCGGAGCUAAUACCGGAUAAUAUUUUGAACCGCAUGGUUCAAAAGUGAAAGACGGUCUUGCUGUCACUUAUAGAUGGAUCCGCGCUGCAUUAGCUAGUUGGUAAGGCAACGGCUUACCAAGGCAACGAUGCAUAGCCGACCUGAGAGGGUGAUCGGCCACACUGGAACUGAGACACGGUCCAGACUCCUACGGGAGGCAGCAGUAGGGAAUCUUCCGCAAUGGGCGAAAGCCUGACGGAGCAACGCCGCGUGAGUGAUGAAGGUCUUCGGAUCGUAAAACUCUGUUAUUAGGGAAGAACAUAUGUGUAAGUAACUGUGCACAUCUUGACGGUACCUAAUCAGAAAGCCACGGCUAACUACGU